rnacentral:rRNA from 1 species
UACGUAGGGGGGCAAGCGUUGUCCGGAAUCAUUGGGCGUAAAGCGCGUGUAGGCGGCCAGAAAAGUCCGCUGUGAAAACUCGAGGCUCAACUUCGAGCUGUCGGUGGAAACUUUCUGGCUAGAGUCCGGAAGAGGAGAAUGGAAUUCCUGGUGUAGCGGUGAAAUGCGCAGAUAUCAGGAAGAACACCCGUGGCGAAGGCGGCUCUCUGGGGACGGUACUGACGCUGAGACGCGAAAGCGUGGGGAGCAAACAGG